UGUCUGUUAUUGGAGGUAGCUGUGAACUAGCCUGUCUGUUAUUGGAGGUAGCUGUGAACUAGCCUGUCUGUUAUUGGAGGUAGCUGUGAACUAGCCUGUCUGUUAUUGGAGGUAGCUGUGAACUAGCCUGUCUGUUAUUGGAGGUAGCUGUGAACUAGCCUGUCUGUUAUUGGAGGUAGCUGUGAACUAGCCUGUCUGUUAUUGGAGGUAGCUGUGAACUAGCCUGUCUGUUAUUGGAGGUAGCUGUGAACUAGCCUGUCUGUUAUUGGAGGUAGCUGUGAACUAGCCUGUCUGUUAUUGGAGGUAGCUGUGAACUAGCCUGUCUGUUAUUGGAGGUAGCUGUGAACUAGCCUGUCUGUUAUUGGAGGUAGCUGUGAACUAGCCUGUCUGUUAUUGGAGGUAGCUGUGAACUAGCCUGUCUGUGAUUGGAGGUAGCUGUGAACUAGCCUGUCUGUUAUAGAGAGCCAGAGAGGUUAUUGUGGAGGGAUCACUUACACACACACACACACACACACACACACACACACACACACACACACACACACACACACACACACACACACACACACACACACACACACACACACACACACAUUGACCCUCUGCACACACACACACACACACACACACACACACACACACACACACACACACACACACACACACACACACACACACACAUUGACCCUCUGCACACACACACACAUUGACCCUCUGCACACACUGGCAGCCAGCUGAGAAAAGUGUAGUUUGAUACAGACUUUUCUACUUUGUAUAUAUUAUAUAUAUUUCUCUCCUAUUUUCUGAUUUCUUUGUG